UAAUACAAAGCUAUAGAAUUGUUCCCCAUCCUCCUAUGUACAUUACCGAAGUAGUAUGACUCUUUCCCACUCAAACAAUGAUUUGUUUUUUCAAGAAGACUGGGUCUGAUCUGUACAAGCUGAAACACAGGAAGCAGCCUGAGAAACUAAGGAGCUGAACAUUCUGUAUGUAGAGCAUUAUUAGCUGGGUUUUUUGUUUGUUUUUAACUAGAAGAAAAGAAAUGACCAAAUCCAAGAAUUUAAUCAGUCAUGAGAUUUUGGCUGAAAACUUUUUCAUGGAUAAGAUUUAAAAAGUCUGUUACUAAAAUUUGUUAUGAAAAUAAACCAGUUUAAGGGACAGAAUCUCAUUACAUGCAGGGUAGUGGCCAUUAUCAUUUAUGUUUUUGUGAUUCUUUUUUUUUUAAAAAAAACCUGUCACUAAGCAACCAGAAGAGUCUAACAUUGCUUGAGCAAGUGCUACUGCAGUGCUGUGGAGACAUAUGACAUCAGACUUCUCACUGACACUGCCUUCUACCAGAGACAAUAUGAUAUAUGAGAAAAUGACCUGGCUUUGAGCUCAGCUAAAUCUGGGGACACAUUGCAGCUCAUUCACUCCCUUCUUUGUCCCUGGCAUACUUCACUGUGGAAAACUAGUCACCCACUUAUUGCCAGUUUUUUCACCAACAUGCUGAAAGAUGUAUAUAUUCACUAGAUGAAAUGUGAUUGCAAUGAAAGAUUUCACCAUGUUCUUCAAUUCCGAAUCAAUAAUAUAGAUGUAUAUUAUUGACUACCAACUAAACUCUACAGACAACAAUGUGCAGGAUUGGCAUGCAGGAUUUGGAGCCAAGAUGUCUGACUAGCAGUAGCCACGAAGAAAAAUCUCCCACCAAGAGACCAGGCCGUGGAGAACACUGGCACACUCUAAGCAGAUCUUCAGAAAGACAGCAUUGAGAGUGGACAGAGGAAGGACAGAGACCUUGGGAUGAAGGGGUUGGAAGUUGGGACCAUGCAUGGGGCUGCUGAGCACCAGGACUUGUCCCUGUCCCCCGUCCUCCCCGGUGGCUCCCAGGGAACUGAUGAGUUAAACUGGCCAGGAGUGGCCUGCUCUCACCAGGGACCUCCAGAAUCCUAGCUGCAAGAGACCCCACAAGCUCCACGACACUUGGGAUGGCAGGGAGGGAAGUUUGGAGAGGCAGCAGGGGCAGGACUGUAGCUUGUGAGGAGCCCAGAAGGUUUGGCAUGGGAAGGGCUACAGUGGAGCAUGGCCAGGAAUGCCUAUUUGCCAAAGCUUGCCAAGCUCUUCUAGGUGCCUUUAGCCUUUGGUAACUGCCAGACCUGGAGAGAGGAGGGUAGUCUUGCCUAUGGGAUGGGGGCAGUCUUAUCUGAGCAUCCGCCUGUCUGCUGGCCUCUCCUAGGGCCCCAGCCUUCUCACCCCAACUUGCAUCUCAGCCCUCAGCCUUGGUUGCCCAAGCAGGGUGCUUCCUGGGAUCCAUCAUUAUAGUUCCUUCACUGGAAGACCACACCUAGCAGACCAUGCCUAACCAUUGUAGAGUUCCAGCAGACCGCCCUCCACCGAUGUGCAGCCACCCACUUGCAGCCUCCCUUGACUGAACCUCACCCCAUCGCUUUGCCAUCAUGCACUUUUCCAUGAGUCCAGCCCUUCCCUAUGAACCACUUUGCUGGCACAUGUGCAUAAGUAGACCUCCCAUCCCCUCAUCUCCCGUCAUGUGCACAUGCACCGUGUUACCCCACUGCUGCUGGCACAAGUGUGCACACACUGACACUGCUGCCUCUUUUCUGACAAUGCAUGAAGGCCAGCAUACUGCCCCCACUGGUGCCCUGGCCCUGCCAACAUGUGGACACUCCACUGCACCAUCACUGUUAUUGAUGUGUGUGCAGGUGUGGGUCCUGCUGCCAUCAUCCUGAAGAAGGACUGUGGCUGGGACCCCACAUUAGAGGGUUGUUGCCAGGGUACCAGAAACAUUUUAGCCUCCACCCAGCGCUGGAGGUGUCUAACCUCAAGGGGCCAAAGAAUAAAGCCAGGAACCCAGUACCAGCCCCUCAAGACUAGAGCACACAGUUUAGAAGUGAUGAGCCCUUUUACCUCCACCCGCCAAAAUCUUCCAAGAUGAAGCCAGUUGAUUGAAUCCACCUUACUUCACAAUUAGACCCUCAAGGGCAUCAAAGAUAAAAGCAAAACACAAAUCCAAAACCCAUCCAAAAGACAGCAACUUCAAAUAUUAAAGGACAAUCAGCCCACACAGCUAAAACAGCACCAGUAUAAGAACUCUGGCAACUCAAAGAGCUACAGUGUCUUCUUACCUCCAAACAACCACACUAGUUAACCAGCAGUGGUUAUUAACAACAUUGAAAUGGCUAAAAUGACAGACAUAUAAUUCAGAAUCUGGAUAGAAAUGAAGAUCAUUGAGAGUCAGGAGAAAAUUGAAACCCAAUCCAAGGAGUCUAAGGAAUCUAGUAAAACAAUAUAAGAAAUAUAAAACAGAAUACACAUUUUAAGGAAGAACUAAACUGAGCUGAUAGAACUGAAGAACUUACUACAAGAAUUUCAUAAUACAGUUGCUAGUAUUGACAGCAAAAUAGACCAACCUGAAGAAAGAAUUCCAGAGGUCGAAGACAGGUUCUUCGAAUCAACUGAAUCAGACAAAAAUAGAUAAAAUAAGACAAAUAAUGAACAAAACCUCCAAUAAAUAUAAAAUUAUUAUAGAGACCAAACCUACGACUCAUUGGCAUCUCUGAAAGAGAGAGAGAGAGAGAAAGAAAGCAACUUGGAAAACAUAUUGGAAGGUAUUGUUCAUGAAAACUUCCCCAACCUCCCAAGAGAGGUCAACAUGCAAAUUCAGGAAAUGCAGAGAACCCCAUUGAGAUGCUAUACAAGAUGACCAUCUCUAAGACACAUAGUCAUUAGAUUCUCCAGGCUCAAUGUGAAAGAAAAAACAUAAAAAGCAGCUAGAAAUUAGGAGCAGGUCACGUGCAAAGGGAACUAUCAGGCUAAUAGCAGACCUUUCAGCAGAAACCUUACAAACCAGGAGACUGGGGACCUAUAUUCAGCAUUUUUAAGAAAAUAACUUUCAACCAAGAAUUUCACAUCCAGCCAAACUAAACUUCAUAGGCAAAGGAGAAAUAAGAUUCUUUACACAAAAUCAAAUGUUAAUGGAACUCCUUGCCAUCAGACUGGUAUUACAGUAGGUUCUUAAGGGUGUGCUAAACAUGGAAACGAAAGAUUAUUACCUACCACCACAAAAACACACUUAGGUUCGAGGCCCACUGACACUAUAAAGGAACUAUACAAUCAAGUCUACGUAACAGCCAAUAUGAUGACAAGUUCAAAUCCUCACAUAUUGAUUUAACCUUGAGUGUAAAUGAGGUAACAUCCCACUUAAAAGGCAAAUUGGAUAAAGAAGCAAGACUCAAUUGUAGGCUGUCUUCAAGAAACCCACCUCACAUGAAACACCCAGAAGCUCAAAGUAAGGGGAUAGAGAAAAAUCUACCAAGAAAAUGGAAAACAAACAAACAAAAAACA